rnacentral:misc_RNA from 1 species
UUUCCGUUGGUGAACCUGCGGAAGGAUCAUUACAGAGUCCCUGCCCCUCUGGGGUAGACCUCCCACCCGUGUGUAUUCUAAUCAAUUGUUGCUUUGGCGGGCCGCGAGCGUGCCUCGCCCGGGAGCCUCUCCCGGUGUGCCUGCCAGAGGAAACCCAAACUCUGAAUAUUAGUGUCGUCUGAGUACUAUAUAAAUCGUUAAAACUUUCAACAACGGAUCUCUUGGUUCUGGCAUCGAUGAAGAACGCAGC